UUAAGGCGUAUAUAGUAUACCUUAAGGAGCGUAAUAAGGCUAUAGAUACUAGCUAUAAGCCACCCAGCCUGCAGAUGGUGAUAAAACGUCUUAGGAUGGCUAGACGCAAGAAGGAGCAAGCCAAGCUUAAGGCGGCAUAACCUAGGCCUACAGAGGGACAAUACAAGCAGUAGGACCAGACCGCCCUAUAGACCCUAGUGACUAUACUUCGCUAUGCCUAGCUAAUUUAUAUGUCUCCUAAUAAGGAUAAGGAGUAUAUUCCUACCCAGGCUAAGGCUCUUACCUGCCUUAAAGAGGACUUUAAGUACUGCCUUGACUGUCUCCUUAAAAAGGAGACCUAAGCCUAGCUAGAGGGUUUCUAUAAUACUUAUAUGAAAGUACACCCUAGUAAGCGCUAGUCCCUUAUAUUAGACCCUACUCUUUGCUAUAUACUAGAUGUAAUAAAUAAAGUCUAUAACGCCUUUAUAAAGAACGACCUAUAGACUAAGUAUCUCCCCCUAUAUGCCUACCUUUUAGGUAUACUCUUUGUCUACUAAAAGGGUAAUUAUAGUACUAAGGUUCUUAGCACCCUUCUCCUUAUCUAAUAUCUAGAUAUAAUCUCUAUUCUAGAGAUAUAUUAUACUAGUAUUAAGGGAAAAACCUUAAGGGCUAUUACCUAUAUAGAAGAUAAGAUUAUUAAUAUAGGACUAAGAGUUAAUAAAGCUAUUACUAAGGCUAAGGGAGUUAAGGCUAUUACUAAGGCUAUAGAGAAACAUACUGCUAACGCUAAAGAUAGCGCUAAAGACAUAGCUAAUAACAUUAAUGCUAUUAUUAAGAACAUACGCGCUAAGGGUAACAAACUUAUUAAGCUAAAUAAGAAAAUUAACAAUAUAGUUGUUAAAGUUAAUAGAGUAAAUAAGCAUAUUAGCCUCCUUAAGCAUAAGGCUAACAACCUAGAUGCCCUUAAUAAGUUUAAGGGUAAUAAGUUUUACACCCUAGCCUAGAAGGUUAAUAAUAUCGCUACGAAGCUUACUAUAUUUACUAACGCUGCUGUUACCUUGCCUUGCCCUACCCCUACGUUGCCGGCCGCGACUGCUACCCUGCCGCGCCGCCCCGCUAUAGAGAAGAGCACUAAGUAAGCCAUAGAGCUCCCGGCUUGCGACCCCACCCCUAAGAGAUCAUAAGUGUUAAUUAAUAACAAUAAUGAGUAAGGGAACUGCUAAAAGGAUACGGGAGAAUUAAGGAGUUAUAUAGAGAUAGAGAGGAGUAUAGACCUAUAUGUAGAUAUUUUGUUUUUAGCACCCUAAUAAGUACCUCUUUAAGGGGGGGUACUUGUCAUAGGCCAAAAGGGGCGCGUAGCCUAUAAUACUAGAUAGGUUGUAGCUAGUUAUAUGCCUAUAGGUAUAAGUAGCUGUUAACUUAGGGAGUAUUAUAAGUUAACUAUAGAAUACUACUUAGACCUAAUUAUACCUACCUUUUGUCUAUACUAUUGUCGCCUUAUACUUACUUGUUUGUUAUCUAUUACUACUUUACUAUUCUGUUUUACUCUCUUGCUAUGUAUCUCUAUAACGCUGCUAUCUAUUCUAUCUAGCAGUACUAGUAGCCUAUUUCCCCUAUUAGAUCCAUAAUAGCUGCUAGGAGGGCUAUGUUAGGAAGCUAGUUAAUAUUCUAGUACCUAGAUAUAGGUUUUAUAUAGUAAUACAACUAAACAUAGAGAUAAUAGUAGGGGCCCUAGGUAGAGUUCUCUUUUCUUCUUAAUAGUCUAUUACCCUAAAAUUAGUUUGUCUAGAGCUAAGGUUUAACAGCUAGAAGAGCCUAGUACUUCUAUUAGGUCUAGUACACUCUUAACAUCCCUUAAAAAUCUAUAGGAAGGAAUAAUUCUUAUGCUAGGUUAUACUUAUAACUAUAGUAGGUCUCUAAGGUAAACAGCCUCUAGUUAAUAGAAUAAUAUAGAUAAGGGAAGUUAGUAAAAUAGAUCUAUAACUUUAGGAUAAGGAUUAGCUCUAAGGGUUAGGUAUAUUAGGCUUUAGGUAGAUAGCUUAGGAGUAGGUUACUACUAGCUAGGUAACUAGCUAGAGGCUUCUAGCAUCUAGGUUCUAACGCCUUUAGUAGGCUUUAGCCAUCUAGUAUAUAGUUAAUAACUAACUUAGAACUAGUAUAGAUAAGGGGAAUCUAACUAUCUAAUUAAAACAUAGUAUUAUAAUAGCUAGAAAGUAGUAUUAAUAUAAUAUAAUUUCUACCUAGUACUCUAAAUAUUAAAGUAAAGUAAUUUAACUAAGUAUAGGUAAAUAGUAGGAGUAACUAUAACUCUCUUAAGGUAGCUAAAUGCCUUAUUAUCUAAUUAGGAAUAUAUAUAAAUAGAUUAAUAAGAUUCCUACUAUCCCUAUCUACUAUCUAGUAAAACUAUAGCUAAGGGAAUAGGCUUAGCAGAAUUAGUAAGGAAAGAAGACCCUAUUAAGCUUAACUCUAGUUUAAUAUUAUAAAAAGACAUAAGAGGUAUAGAAUAGGUAGGAGCUUUAGUACUAGUAAAAUACUACUACUCCUAUUAUUUUUUUACUUAUUUAAUAAAGUAGGGCUAGAUUUACAUCUAACUUUUAGUUUUAAGGUUUUUUAUAGGCCAACCUAGGUUAAAGAUAUUAUUAGGGAGGGAGUUUAGCUAGGGCGGCAUAUCUAUUAAACUAUAACAUAGGUGUCCUAAGGGGGGCUUAUAGAGAAUAGAAAUCUCUAGUAGAACAAAAGGGUAAAAGUCCCCUUAAUUUUAAUUUUUAGUAUAAAUAUAAACUAUAAAAGUAUAGCCUAUUAAUCCUUUAGUCCCUUAAAAUUUAAGGCUAGAGGUACCAAAAAAGUUACUAUAGGGAUAACUAGCUUAUAGCAGCUAAGCAUUUAUAGUAAUAUCGCUUUUUAAUCCUUUAAUAUCAGCUCUUCCUAUUAUACUAAAGUAGAAUUUAGUAAGUAUUAGAUUGUUUACCUACUAAUAGGGAAUAUAAGCUAGGUUUAGACUAUCAUAAGAUAGGUUAGUUUUACCCUACUAAUAACCUUAUUAUAAUAGUAAUUAAGCUUAGUACAAAAGAAACUACUUAUUUAGAUAAUUAGUUUUUAUAGCUAUCCGACUAGGUAGUACUAUAACGCUACUAUCUACUAGAUAAUAGCUAAACGCCUCUAAGUUAGAAUCUAUACUAGAACGUAAUAAUACCUCCCGCAUAUAUAGAUAGACACAAAUAGGCUUUAGCUUAGCGUCUUAGUAGGUAAUUCCUCUACUACUCUUAAAGCAAGUAGUAGUAUUUUAUAAAUUAUAAUUUU
rnacentral:rRNA from 1 species